GACGAACGCUGGCGGCGUGCUUAACACAUGCGAGUCGAACGGAAAGGCCCUGCUUUUGUGGGGUGCUCGAGUGGCGAACGGGUGAGUAACACGUGAGUAACCUGCCCUUGACUUUGGGAUAACUUCAGGAAACUGGGGCUAAUACCGGAUAGGAGCUCCUGCUGCAUGGUGGGGGUUGGAAAGUUUCGGCGGUUGGGGAUGGACUCGCGGCUUAUCAGCUUGUUGGUGGGGUAGUGGCUUACCAAGGCUUUGACGGGUAGCCGGCCUGGGAGGGUGACCGGCCACAUUGGGACUGAGAUACGGCCCAGACUCCUACGGGAGGCAGCAGUGGGGAAUCUUGCACAAUGGGCGGAAGCCUGAUGCAGCAACGCCGCGUGCGGGAUGACGGCCUUCGGGUUGUAAACCGCUUUCGCCUGUGACGAAGCGUGAGUGACGGUAAUGGGUAAAGAAGCACCGGCUAACUACGUG
rnacentral:rRNA from 1 species